UUUUAGUUUAGGUUUGUUUUUGUUAUUUACUCUUUGAUUGGUUUGAUUGGAUU
rnacentral:tRNA from 1 species